rnacentral:rRNA from 1 species
UACAGAGGUGGCGAGCGUUAUUCGGAAUUAUUGGGCGUAAAGGGCGCGUAGGCGGCUUGACAAGUCCCGGGUGAAAUCCCUCGGCUCAACCGAGGAACUGCCUUGGAAACUGUCUGGCUUGAGGCCGGGAGAGGGUAGUGGAAUUCCCAGUGUAGCGGUGAAAUGCGUAGAUAUCGGGAAGAACACCUAUGGCGAAGGCAGCUCUCUGGGACGGUACUGACGCUGAGACGCGAAAGCGUGGGGAGCGAACAGG